GGACUUUUGGUGGAGGAACCAAAUUCAUCAUUCACUCUGGCCCCAUGGUCAGACCCUCAGUCUCUCUGCUUCAACCCUCCUCUGAGAAGCUCUCUGGAGGCCCAGUCACACUGGCCUGCCUGCUGACCGGCUACUCUCCUCAGGGAGCUGAAGUGAGAUGGGAAGUAGAUGGCACAGAGGUGACAGAGGGGGUCCUGAACAGCUUAGAAGAAGAGAAGAGUAGUCGCUACAGCAGCAGCAGCACCCUGAUGCUGAGCCAAGAGAACUGGAUGAACACAGAGGUGUUCUCCUGCAGGGUGAACCAUCAUGACCACUGGCAGGCCAAGUCCUUCCGCAAGAACUGGUGUGAGGGCUAGAGGGGCUGCUGA